GGGAGUUUUGCCAUGCAUUGUAAAAGUUCUGGGAUGUGGCAGCAUGUACUAAAAUCUUUGUGAUUUGUUGGACUACUUGGACAAGAGCUAGGGGUAUGUGAGCUACCAUCAUCAGCCCUUUCUUUCCACAUCUAAUCUCAGCUUGCAGCAUCAGAACUGCAGGAGGAAGAGCAUCUACUUUUGGAGACAUGGAGAGAAAGGAGGCUGACUAAGUAUGAAGGAAUUCUGGGGACUUUUAUGCAAUGCUUGAGACUUGCUCAUCAUCUCAGAAAAACCUUCUCCUUCUGUAGCAAACUGACUGGAACUGAAUUGUUCUUCCCAUAGAAGUGCUUUGGGGGAAAAGCUAAGCUACAGGCCCCUCAGAUGGUCCUGUUUUCGGCAAAGAAGACAAAACAAGGAAAUGAGCUAUCAUCCCUGCCUUCCAGAGCAGCACGUCCGCUGUCCUCUUGACAGGUUGGACAAGAUUCUUGGUUAUUCUUCCAUAAUUCAAGAGAGUGCAGUUGAACAAUCCCAGUGAUUAAUUUGGAAUGAGUUCCUGUGCACAGAGUUGGGCAUGGAUCCCAAAGCAUGGGCACAAGUUUACUACUGUGAGUAAUUGUAAUUUUAGACAGGUUUUUGGACCUGAUGCUGGUUUUG
rnacentral:lncRNA from 1 species